rnacentral:rRNA from 1 species
UACGGAGGGUGCAAGCGUUGUCCGGAAUCACUGGGCGUAAAGGGCGCGUAGGCGGCUCAUGAAGGCUGUGGUGAAAGUCCGGGGCUCAACCUCGGAUCGGCCGUGGCGACUCGUGGGCUGGAGCACUGUAGAGGCGGGUGGAAUUCCGGGUGUAGCGGUGGAAUGCGUAGAGAUCCGGAAGAACACCAGUGGCGAAGGCGGCCCGCUGGGCAGUGGCUGACGCUGAGGCGCGAAAGCUAGGGGAGCGAACAGG